UACAGAGGUCCCGAGCGUUGUUCGGAUUCAUUGGGCGUAAAGGGUGCGUAGGUGGCGCUGUAAGUCGGGUGUGAAAUUUCGGAGCUUAACUCCGAAACUGCAUUCAAUACUGCUUUGCUAGAGUACUGGAGAGGAGAUUGGAAUUUACGGUGUAGCAGUGAAAUGCGUAGAUAUCGUAAGGAAGACCAGUGGCGAAGGCGGAUCUCUGGACAGUUACUGACACUGAGGCACGAAGGCCAGGGGAGCAAACGGG
rnacentral:rRNA from 1 species